UACAGAGGGUGCGAGCGUUAAUCGGAAUUACUGGGCGUAAAGGGCGCGUAGGCGGCCUGAUAAGUCAUUAGUGAAAUGCCUGGGCUUAACCUAGGAACUGCUAAUGAUACUGUCAGACUAGAGUAUGGUAGAGGGAAGUGGAAUUUCCGGUGUAGCGGUGAAAUGCGUAGAUAUCGGAAGGAACACCAGUGGCGAAGGCGACUUCCUGGACCAAUACUGACGCUGAAGCGCGAAAGCGUGGGGAGCGAACAGG
rnacentral:rRNA from 1 species